rnacentral:rRNA from 1 species
CCUACGGGAGGUAGCAGUGAGGAAUAUUGGACAAUGGAUGGAAAUCUGAUCCAGCCAUGCCGCGUGCAGGAAGACGGCCCUAUGGGUUGUAAACUGCUUUUAUAUGGGAGCAAUAAGGUCUACGCGUAGACCGAUGAGAGUACCAUAUGAAUAAGCAUCGGCUAACUCCGUGCCAGCAGCCGCGGUAAU